rnacentral:rRNA from 1 species
AACGAACGCUGGCGGCAUGCCUAACACAUGCAAGUCGAACGAGACCUUCGGGUCUAGUGGCGCACGGGUGCGUAACGCGUGGGAACCUGCCUUUAGGUUCGGAAUAACUCAGAGAAAUUUGAGCUAAUACCGGAUAAUGUCUUCGGACCAAAGAUUUAUCGCCUUUAGAUGGGCCCGCGUAAGAUUAGCUAGUUGGUGGGGUAAAGGCCUACCAAGGCGACGAUCUUUAGCUGGUCUGAGAGGAUGAUCAGCCACACUGGGACUGAGACACGGCCCAGACUCCUACGGGAGGCAGCAGUGGGGAAUAUUGGACAAUGGGCGAAAGCCUGAUCCAGCAAUGCCGCGUGAGUGAUGAAGGCCUUAGGGUUGUAAAGCUCUUUUACCCGUAGAUGAUAAUGACAGUAUCGGGAGAAUAAGACUCCGGCUAACUCCGUAGCCAGCAGCCGCGGUAAU